AGGUUGUCAUCGCAAGGGCUUUUCAUGGCUUGUAACUUGGCUGGGCUAAGAAGAAAAUUAGUUUUUCUGGUCAGCAAAGUUCCUUGAGUUAAGAGAGACAUUUAUGUAAUUACCAUUUAAGAACAAACUCUCUUUCUUUUUCCCAACUUUCCCUUGUAGUGAGUUGUUUCAUUACUUUUUGAAUUUUUCUUUUCUCACUUUUUCUUUUCUUUUGCCUUUACUUUUCACUUGCUUUUUCUUUUGAUUGCUCACUGCCUAGAGAGGUGAGUUGUAACCUGGCAACCCAAACUUGAACCUUUAUAAGUACCUCCUCAAAUGUUCUCAAAUUAACUCAAGG
rnacentral:lncRNA from 1 species